rnacentral:rRNA from 1 species
AUGCACCGCCCCAGACAAGUUCAGUUUGAACAUGCAUGUAGUGUGUGUGACAUGCUUGCACGUCUACGUGCUCCAAUGUUUUGUAUACAGUUAUACACAACAUUGUCUUUCAUAAAAGAUGGUACUCCUGAGUGUAUGUUCAUGGAAAACUUACCAAAUCGUUGCUUUAACCAUUUAUUUGGGGCGGCAUGUGCAUACAAAACGUGUACUCUAAAUGCACUAUGGGGCAUUUCUGUUGCUUAUUCAUUCCUUUUCUCUCAUAAAAAAAUCAUUUUCACAAGACCUUGGAGUAGGAGUACAAAGAAAAUGGAAUCCACUCAACUGCUCUCUGCUCAUCCAUCUCCUCGUGUAUUAAUAACUAUAGAGCGUACUAUUAACUAG